AUUGAACGCUGGCGGCAUGCCUUACACAUGCAAGUCGAACGGCAGCACGGGAGCAAUCCUGGUGGCGAGUGGCGAACGGGUGAGUAAUAUAUCGGAACGUGCCCAGUCGUGGGGAUAACGUAGCGAAAGCUACGCUAAUACCGCAUACGAUCUACGGAUGAAAGCGGGGGAUCGCAAGACCUCGCGCGAUUGGAGCGGCCGAUAUCAGAUUAGGUAGUUGGUGAGGUAAAGGCUCACCAAGCCGACGAUCUGUAGCUGGUCUGAGAGGACGACCAGCCACACUGGGACUGAGACACGGUCCAGACUCCUACGGGAGGCAGCAGUGGGGAAUAUUGGACAAUGGGCGAAAGCCUGAUCCAGCCAUGCCGCGUGUGUGAAGAAGGUCUUCGGAUUGUAAAGCACUUUAAGUUGGGAGGAAGGGUUAGUAACCGUAAUACGUUAGCUACUUUGACGUUACCGACAGAAUAAGCACCGGCUAACUUCGUGCCAG
rnacentral:rRNA from 1 species